GUGAGGAAUAUUGGACAAUGGGCGCAAGCCUGAUCCAGCCAUGCCGCGUGCAGGAAGACGCAUCUAUGGUGUGUAAACUGCUUUUGUACGGGAAGAAACACUCCCUCGUGAGGGAGCUUGACGGUACCGUAAGAAUAAGGAUCGGCUAACUCCGUGCCAGCAGCCGCGGUAAUACGGAGGAUCCAAGCGUUAUCCGGAAUCAUUGGGUUUAAAGGGUCCGUAGGCGGUUUAAUAAGUCAGUGGUGAAAGCCCAUCGCUCAACGAUGGAACGGCCAUUGAUACUGUUAGACUUGAAUUACAAGGAAGUAACUAGAAUAUGUAUUGUGUCGGUGAAAUGCUUAGAUAUUACAUGGAAUACCAAUUGCGAAGGCAGGUUACUACUUGUGGAUUGACGCUGAUGGACGAAGGCGUGGGGAGCGAACAGGAUUAGAUACCCUAGUAGUCC
rnacentral:rRNA from 1 species